CCCCACUGCUAUCGAGGUGGGACUAAGCCAUGCUAGUCGAACGACCCGGACUAUGGCGGGGAGUGGCAGACUGCUCAGUAGCACGUAGCUAACCUACCCUCGGGACGGGGAUAACCCCGGGAAACUGGGGCUAAUACCCGAUAGGUGUGGAUUCCUGGAAUGGUGCCAUGCCUAAACGUAAGCACAUCCAUGUUUGUGUGCACGCCCGAGGAUGGGGCUGCGGCCGAUCAGGCAGUUGGUGAGGUAACGGCUCACCAAACCUUUGACCGGUACAGGCCAUGAGAGUGGUAGCCCGGAGAUGGGCACUGAGACAAGGGCCCAGGCCCUACGGGGCGCAGCAGGCGCGAAACCUCCACAAUUCACGAAAGUGAGAUGGGGUUACCUCGAGUGCCGUCUGAAGAAGGCGGCUUUUCCAUGGUGUAACAAGCCGUGGGAAUAAGGGGGGGGCAAGACUGGUGUCAGCCGCCGCGGUAACACCAGCCCCCCGAGUGGUGGGGAUGAUUAUUUGGCCUAAAGCGUCCGUAGCCGGCUUUGUAAAUCUCUCGUUAAAUCCAGCGUCCUAAGCGUUGGGCUGCGAGAGACACUGCAGAGCUAGAGGGUGGGAGAGGUCAGCGGUAUUCCUGGGGUAGGGGCGAAAUCCAUUGAUCCCAGGAGGACCACCAGUGGCGAAGGCUGCUGUCCAGAACACGCCUGACGGUCAGGGACGAAAGCUGGGGUAGCGAAUCGGAUUAGAUACCCGAGUAGUCCCAGCCGUAAACGAUGCAGGCUAGGUGUUGGGUCGGCCACGCGCCGCCUCAGUGCCACAGGGAAGCCAUUAAGCCUGCCGCCUGGGGAGUACGGCCGCAAGGCUGAAACUUAAAGGAAUUGGCGGGGGAGCACCACCAGGCGUGAAGCCUGCGGUUU
rnacentral:rRNA from 1 species